rnacentral:lncRNA from 1 species
AAAAGAAAGAAAAUAUUCCUCCCAGUUUGUUCUUUGACUUUGUUUAUAGUGAUUUUUGCCCUGCAGUUUUUUUUUUUUUUUUUUUGAGAUGGAGUCUUGCUCUUGUUGCCCAGGCUGGAGCGCAAUGGCAUGAUCUCAGCUCACUGCGACCCCUGACUCCCGGGUUCAAGCAAUUUUCCUGCCUCAGCCUGUUGAGUAGCUAGGAUUACAGGUAAUGCGCCAGCACGCCCGGCUAAUUUUAUAUUUUUAGUAGAGAUAGGGUUUCUCCAUGUUGGUCGGGCUGGUUUUGAACUCCCGACCUCACGUGAUCUGCCUGCCUUGGCCUCCCAAAGUGCUGGGAUUACAGGCGUGAACCACUGUGCCCAGCCCAAUUUCUAUUUUUCUUUUUCUUUUUUUUUGAGACGGAGUCUCGCUCUGUCACCCAGGCUGGAGUGCAGUGGUGCGAUCUCUGCUCACUGCAAGCUCCUCCUCCCAGGUUCACGUCAUUUUCCCACCUCAGUCUCCAGAGUAGCUGGGACUACAGGCGCCCGCCACCAUGCCUGGCUAAUUUUUUUUGUAUUUUUAGUAGAGACAGGGUUUCACCAUGUCAGCCAGGAUGGUCUCGAUCUCCUGACCUCGUGAUCCGUCCGCCUCGGCCUCCCAAAGUGCUGGGAUUACAGGUGUGAGCCACCACGCCCGGCCCCAAUUUCUGUUUUUUACAUAGUCAAAUUUAUCAACAUUUUUUAUGGCUUAUGGGUUUUGUUUUGGUUUUCUGAACUCUCUGCUCCUGUUCUUUUAUCUAGUACUCCAUAUUCUGGAGUAAGGCAGAGUCCUUUCAUAUUUACCUGUAUUUCCCUUACACUGCAUUUCGGUCACCUUUAUUGGUUUCCCAAAAACCAGCACCAGUAAUAAUAGCUACCAACCAUUGUGUCUAGGCAUUGUACUACUCAUUGAGUAUCAAUGAGUAUAAAGAGCUUUAUAUUCAGUAUCUUUCAUCUUCUCAGUAGCUCUGCAAGGUAGAUGAUAUUCUGUCCAUUUUACAGAUGAGGAAAGUAUGGCCCAAAGAAGUUACAUAAGUGGCCAGGCACAGUGGCUCAUGCCUGUAAACCCAGCACUUUGGGAGGCCAAGGUGGAAGGACCACUUGAGCCCAAGAGUUGGAGACCUGCCUGAGUAACAUUGUGAGACCCUGUCUCUAUUUUAUAAAAGUUUAUUUUAAAAUUUAUAUAUAUAUAUAUAAUUUGUAUAUAUAUAUAUAUAUUCACAUUGACUUUUAAAAGAAACUAUGUUAGUGGUUUUGAAAAAUAUUCCACAUUCUGGAUUUUUCUGAUUGUUUUCUUGUAGUGCCAUUUAACUUGUCCCUCUAUGUCUUUAUUUCCUCUAAACAGGUUUCUCAACAGGGGUCCCUCAUGUGAACUACAGAAUAUAGAAAGAUUGAAUGACUAAUUAUACUAGAACCAUUCAAGAUGCAUAGGAGAGAACUCAGUUUGUUACACACAGGAGAUUCCUUAAAGAACUAAAAGUAAGACUAUCAUUAGAUCCAGCAAUCCCACUACUGGGUAUCUACCCAGAGGAAAAGAAGUCAUUAUACGAAAAAGAUACUUUCACAUGCAUGUUUAUAGCAGCACAAUUUGCAAUUGCAAAAAUGUGGAACUAACUCAAAUGCCCAUUAAUCAAUGAGUAGAUAAAGAAACUGUGGUAUAUCUAUACAAUGGAAUACUACUCAGCCAUUAAAAGGAAAGAAUUAAUGGCAUUUACAACGACCUGGAUGAGAUUGGAGACUAUUAUUCUAAGUGAUAUAACUCAGGAAUGGAAAAUCAAACAUCGUAUUUUCUCACUCAUAAGUGGGAGCUAAGCUAUGAGGAUGCAAAGGCAUAAGAAUGACACAAUGGAUUUGGGGGACUCAGGGAAAGAGUAGGAAGGGGGUGAAGGAUAAAAGACUACAAAUUGGGUGCAUUGUGUACUGCUUGGGUUAUGUGUGCACCAAAAUCUCACAAAUCACCACUACAGGACUUACUCAUGUAACCAAACACCACCUGUUCUCCAAUAACCUAUAGAAACAAAAAAUUUAAAACAAAGAAAAACUUUCUAAUAACCACAUUUAAAAAGUAAAAAGAAAAAAAUUGUUACACACAAAGGAUGCAGUGAUGGUUAAUUUUAUGUGUCAACAUUAAUUUAAUUAAAGUUAAUGUCAAACAUUAUUCAGGAUAUGUCUUUGAGGGUGUUUCUGGGUGACAAUGACAUUUAAAUCUGUAGACUGAUUAAAGCAGACACCCUCCCUAAUUAAUGAUGGGGGAGCCUCAACCGGUCAGUUGAUGGCCUGAAUAGGACAAAAGGGCUGACCCUCCUGAGAGUAAGAGUGAAUUUCUCCUGCCUGAGUCAGACUGGAACUACACCAUUGGCUCUUCUGGGUCUCCAGCUUGCCAACUGCAGAUCUUGGGACUUCUCAGCCUCCAUAAUCACAUGAACCAAUUCCUUAAAAUAAAUCUCUUUCUCUCUAUAUACAUACAUCCUAUUAGUUCUGUUUCUCUGAAGAAAUGAUUAAUACAGAUGUCUUGGGGCAUCAGGCUUUAUUUCUCUCCCAGACCAUGACUGAGAAAUUAAGGUGAUCAGGCCGGGUACAGUGGCUCACACCUGUAAUACCAGCACUUUGGGAGGCCAUGGCAGGCAGAUCACUUGAGGCCAGGAGUUCGAGACCAGCCUGGCCAACCUGGUGAAACUCCGGCUCUACUAAAAAUACAGAAUUAGCCGGGUGUGGUGGCAGACGCUUGUAGUCCCAGCUACUCGGGAAGCUGAGGCAGGAGAAUCCCUUGAGCCCCGGAGGUGGAGAGGUGGAGGCUGCAGUGAGCCGAGAUUGCACCCCUGCACUCCAGCCUGGGCGACAGAGUGAGACUCUGUCUCAAAAAAAAAAAAAAAAGGAAGAAAGAGAUUAAGGUCAACAUUAUUUGGGGCAGGAACAUUUCACAUUGCAUGACAUCGGGAAUCCCCAUAAUGUCUUGUAGACCCUCUGUUAAUGAUGCUAAAUUUAGUCACUUGAUUGUAGAUUUUUAUUUCAUAAAGUAACUAUUUUCCUCUGUGAAUUAGCAAGUAAUUUUGCAGGGCGAUAUUUUGGCACCAUGCAAAUACCCUCUGUCUCAGCUACUUUUCACCUAAUGGUCUUGCUACUCACUGAGGAUCCCUGCCUGAAUCAAUUAUUUCAUUGCUUGCCCUCCCAGCAACUGAAACUUAAAAAAGCUUAGCCCUCAUAAGGCUAUAGCCCCCUUUUUUUUUUUUUGGAGACGAAGUCUCACUCUGUCACUUAGGCUGGAGUGCAGUGGCGUGAUCUUGGCUCAUGGCAACCUCUGCCUCCUAGGUUCAAGCAAUUCUCCUGCCUUGGCUUCCCGAGUAGCUGGGAUUACAGGCAUGCGCCACUAUGCCUGGCUAAUUUUUGUAUUUUUAGUAGAGACAGGGGUUCUCCAUGUUGGCCAGGCUGGUCUUGAACUCCUGACCUCAGGUGAUCCGCCUGCCUCGGCCUCCCAAAGUGCUGGGACUAUAGGCAUGAGCACCUGGCCAGCUAUAGCCUUGUGUGUGUGUGUGUGUAUAUAUAAAUCAGUAUAUGUUAAGCUAUAGCACAUGAAUAGCUUAAUAUAUAAUAACUAAUAUAUGCAGUAGAACAAAGCUAAAUCUCUUCCCCUUAGAAGCUUUCUCUUUCCUACACAUUCUCUAACCUAACCUCUCAGUCUGUGGAGAGCAGUCCUGGCUGGAAGGUUCCCUGGUGCCAGGAGAACACUUGUUAUCCUUGGUUGUGGUGCCCAAAAGCAAGGAUCAGAACCAUUUGCAGGUGGGAGAGGAAGUCCCAAGGUGAAAUCAAACAAACUAAAUAAAUAUAUCUGAAAUCGUAGCCGACUAUGUUGAAGAAAAUACCUGAUGCUGAGGCUAAGAUCCCAGCAGGUAUCAGAGAAUCAGGGAAGGCAAGAUGGAGAACACCUGGCAGGUUCUAGGAAAAGACUUGGAGGAGGGGCUUCUCUGUUCUCCUAGCAAAUGCUUUUUGGAGUGGAGUGAGGUCAGGGAGAAGGGACAAGGGGCUGUCCCAUGGGCCAGGUUUAUUGGAAGGAGUGGGAGAAACCAAAUGAUGCCUGAGGGUCCAGUAUCUAGGAGUGGAACAGGUUAAGGUCACACCAAGCUCCAGUCAAGCAGAGAGGAGGGUUGAGGUUGGAAGCCAGGGAAGGUCAUCAGUUCUCACAGCAGGUAGGAGGAACUGGGCAAGAACAGGGGAGAACCACUGGAGGUACCCACAGAGCCAAGCAGUGCACAAGGAGGGAAACCCAGGAGUAUCCGGGAAAGCCCAGCUUCUGCGCGCAGGUCAGGAAGGAGGCAGGGCUGCUACAGGGGUUCCCAAGAGGGUCAGGGCCCCCAACACUCCAUCCCACCUCUCCCCCGCUGCCCACACCAACACUGGGAGCUGCAGGAACUCAGGGAGUGCAUUUGCUGCAGCUUGUGAGAAUAAGGGCAGCAGAGCCUGACUCUGCUCUCAGGUAUCCCACUUCACUCGUUCCCCUGCAAGGGCCACUCUCCUGGCCUCCUAGUAAGGGCGGUCGGAGCCUCCUGCAGCGUUUCCCCAUUACCUUAGCGUUUCAGCACCUGGAAGAGAUCAGCAUCGCUGGCAAAGCUGCAGAGCUCAUUGUGCACUUCCUCUUCAAUCUGAGUUGUAAAACUAUAUAUAUAUAUUGAAUGAGAUCAGUUCCAGCACUUUCCCUAGAGAUCCACGUAAAAUCGACAGAGAAGUGUCCAUCACUACCCUGGGGUUUCCUGUUUUGAACCUGACCUGUUCUUGGCAGACACUCCACCCUCGUCUCAUCACACUGAAAGGCUUGGACAGACUUAACCCUCUUGCUUCCUCCUCUCUCCUGUCCUGUUCCCUGCCCUGGACAAAUGGGUCAGACUCAGUCCUCUGGGGACAGGUGAGGCAGGAGAGGUGGCCAAGCCACUUUUUAGCCACACCCCUUGCUUUGGUCUCUGUAAUAUCCCCCCCCCCCCCCCGCCCUUUUCUUUACUAGGUGACAUUUCAUGCAAGGCAGGAGACCAUCCCCUUUAUUUUGGGGGUGGAGCAAAAAUG